AUUGAACGCUGGCGGCAGGCCUAACACAUGCAAGUCGAACGGUAACAGGAAACAGCUUGCUGUUUCGCUGACGAGUGGCGGACGGGUGAGUAAUGUCUGGGAAACUGCCUGAUGGAGGGGGAUAACUACUGGAAACGGUAGCUAAUACCGCAUAACGUCGCAAGACCAAAGAGGGGGACCUUCGGGCCUCUUGCCAUCAGAUGUGCCCAGAUGGGAUUAGCUAGUAGGUGGGGUAACGGCUCACCUAGGCGACGAUCCCUAGCUGGUCUGAGAGGAUGACCAGCCACACUGGAACUGAGACACGGUCCAGACUCCUACGGGAGGCAGCAGUGGGGAAUAUUGCACAAUGGGCGCAAGCCUGAUGCAGCCAUGCCGCGUGUAUGAAGAAGGCCUUCGGGUUGUAAAGUACUUUCAGCGGGGAGGAAGGGAGUAAAGUUAAUACCUUUGCUCAUUGACGUUACCCGCAGAAGAAGCACCGGCUAACUCCGUGCCAGCAGCCGCGGUAAUACGGAGGGUGCAAGCGUUAAUCGGAAUUACUGGGCGUAAAGCGCACGCAGGCGGUUUGUUAAGUCAGAUGUGAAAUCCCCGGGCUCAACCUGGGAACUGCAUCUGAUACUGGCAAGCUUGAGUCUCGUAGAGGGGGGUAGAAUUCCAGGUGUAGCGGUGAAAUGCGUAGAGAUCUGGAGGAAUACCGGUGGCGAAGGCGGCCCCCUGGACGAAGACUGACGCUCAGGUGCGAAAGCGUGGGGAGCAAACAGGAUUAGAUACCCUGGUAGUCCACGCCGUAAACGAUGUCGACUUGGAGGUUGUGCCCUUGAGGCGUGGCUUCCGGAGCUAACGCGUUAAGUCGACCGCCUGGGGAGUACGGCCGCAAGGUUAAAACUCAAAUGAAUUGACGGGGGCCCGCACAAGCGGUGGAGCAUGUGGUUUAAUUCGAUGCAACGCGAAGAACCUUACCUGGUCUUGACAUCCACGGAAGUUUUCAGAGAUGAGAAUGUGCCUUCGGGAACCGUGAGACAGGUGCUGCAUGGCUGUCGUCAGCUCGUGUUGUGAAAUGUUGGGUUAAGUCCCGCAACGAGCGCAACCCUUAUCCUUUGUUGCCAGCGGUCCGGCCGGGAACUCAAAGGAGACUGCCAGUGAUAAACUGGAGGAAGGUGGGGACGACGUCAAGUCAUCAUGGCCCUUACGACCAGGGCUACACACGUGCUACAAUGGCGCAUACAAAGAGAAGCGACCUCGCGAGAGCAAGCGGACCUCAUAAAGUGCGUCGUAGUCCGGAUUGGAGUCUGCAACUCGACUCCAUGAAGUCGGAAUCGCUAGUAAUCGUGGAUCAGAAUGCCACGGUGAAUACGUUCCCGGGCCU
rnacentral:rRNA from 1 species